UGGGGGAUGGUGUAAUGGUAGCACAAACGGCUCUGGACCGUUUAGUCUUGGUUCGAAUCCAGGUCCCCCAGCCA
rnacentral:tRNA from 1 species